GACGAACGCUGGCGGCGUGCUUAUCACAUGCAAGUCGAGCGAUGAAGUUUCUUCGGAAAUGGAUUAGCGGCGAACGGGUGAGGAACACGUGAAGAAUCUGCCCUCCACUUCGGGAUAACACCGGGAAACCGGUGCUAAUACUGGAUAUUGAAACAUAAGUGGCAUCACUGAGUUUUGAAAGAAUUUCGGUGGAGGAUGACUUCGCGGCCUAUCAGCUAGUUGGUGAGGUAAUGGCUCACCAAGGCAACGACGGGUAGCCGGCCUGAGAGGGCGACCGGCCACACUGGGACUGAGACACGGCCCAGACUCCUACGGGAGGCAGCAGUGGGGAAUAUUGGGCAAUGGAGGAAACUCUGACCCAGCGACGCCGCGUGCGGGAUGAAGGCCUUCGGGUUGUAAACCGCUUUCAGUAGGGAAGAAGCGAAAGUGACGGUACCUACAAAAGAAGCACCGGCUAACUAUGUGCCAGCCGCCGCAGUAA
rnacentral:rRNA from 1 species